CUGGUCACGGGCAAACCGUUAUAAGUAGCGAUGGGCACGAACUGAAAUACAAUUUUUUGAUAUAUAUCAUUAAAUAUUUUUUUAGAAUGUUGGCUUGAAUAUUUUGACGAUUAAACAUAUUAUGCAUUUGCAUUGUACAUGUAUUUUUAAUGACGUUGCAAUUUUUUAUGAAUGAAGUUGUUUGAUUAUUAUAUAGGUUAUGAUUGUUACAUAGGUUAUGAAUGAAGUUAGUAACUGAAAUAUUCAAAUGUCGACUGAUAUAUAUUAAUCGCAUAGUCGAUCGAUAUAUCGCACAUAGUGUAAUAGGAUAUACUUCCAAUAAGAAAUCGAAUUCGUAAUAGAACAAAUAUAUAAAAAAAAAUCAAAAUAUGAAAUUACGAGAAUAUCGAUUCCAUCACUAGUCGUAAGUUGCCGGUUGAGACUGAUGCAAGGUCGUCGACGAUUGUUUCAGGACUUCAAGAAAAGGGAGUUAUGAAAGAAAUAAACAUGCGCCUCGCGACGCCUGUGUCACGACACCUGGCGUACAUCCAUGGCCAAGGUCCUCCCCGGUCACGGGCAACCCGUUAUACGUAGUUGGAGCUAACACUUGCUCGAGGUCGCCCAUGACUGUCUUACUCGCCCUAAGGCUCGGAAAAAGUUAAUCUCCAAGCAGAGCUAUCUAAUAUGCAACAUAGAGAUGAACAUUUUAAUGAUUUCACUUUGAAUUGAAACAUUUACAUGCAGAUCUUUAUAUAUUAAAGAUGAUUCAUCGAAGUAGUUGGAAUUUGGUUUCUGCAUUGCACUAUGAGCAAUUUUUGUUGAUGCACGUACACAUAAACGCUUUGUGCAUUCAUGCUCCAACAAGACGUCAUGUCCUCGUGAUCUGUGUGCAAUUGUGUACACAUGGUGCACGUCAACGUAAGCUUAUGUACGUCGUAUCAAGACACGUCAAGGGCAUGACCGUAGAAGCGAGGAUUCACGAUGGAAAAUCACGAUCACGGCGAUGGAAAAAAAGGAGUUCUCCGCGAAAAUCAGAAUAAUCCUUUUAUAAAGAUUGAAAUUACAACGAAAGAAGAGAUCGCUGUUCUAGCUUGGUUUCGAUAAAAUUGGCUCAACAGGUGCUGCCCCCUGGUCGAUCGUUCCUGAGUGAAAAGCCGCGAUAGAUCGCGAUCCACAGGAUCAUUUAAAUAACAGCUGCAUCAUGAUCACGGGAGGUAUCGUAUUCAUAAUUACGGGAAGAUGUAUACAGCGGAGACUCAAAUUCCAAGCACGAACACAGUAAAAAUACUACCAGGGAGCAGAAGUACGUCGCGUAAGCUGGUAUUUUCAGUAGGAUGACAAACGCAAAGAUACGUGACGUCAGAGAUCACAAGCGACAUUCCAUUGUCACGGAGGUCGGGACUAUAGUUCAUAAGAGGAAAGCACGAAAGUCAUGGAGGAAAUAGUUGAUUAGGAUACUCGUUUAAAACAAUGCGCGUCCGAUACAUCGAGUCAUAGUUACAAUUGAAUUGCUGUUUUAAUUUCCAUUGGUUAGUUGUACAGACUGAGCUGUACAAACUGUUUCACGACAGUAGUACAAUCUCUAAGAAGAUUCUUCACGAUGAAAUAGAACAAAAAUUUAAAAAGUAUAAAUUUUUGGACAUACUUUACUUUUGAAAUCAUUGAUAACGUUGAAAAUCUUUAGGCACACGUGUAUUAAGUUUUGACCUGAAUGAAUCUCUCUGUAUGAUCGAUAGAGGAUUGAAACGCAGAUUUAAAAUUGAUAGUUCAAACAGACAAAUUUUUGAUUCUUUACGACCAGAGAUUAACAAUAUUAUGAGACUGUUUUAAAAAAUGAAUCGCGUUCUUUUCUUUUUUAUUAAAUUCACAUAGAAUUUUAGAAGAAAAGUCAAUAUCUUUCCUUCGCCACGUUGUUUGUACUUGUAAAUGUGUUGUCGCGAUUUACCUUUUGUCAUUGAUAUUAUCUUACAUGCUGGAAAAAUACAGCUAGUACACGUGUAGGUACAUCUAAUGAAUUCUACUUCGUUUCAAAGAAAGGAAAUCUUAAUGCAAAAACUUAAUUCUAUAUUUUUAAUUUCUUAUAACUUUUUUUUAACUUUUUUACUUUUGCAUACGAACUGUCCCAACUAAAUGAAUAUGCUAUCACAACUAAAGCAAUCUGUCAAAUCAUAUUUCUCACCAGAUAAUUCACUAUCACCAUUUUUACGAUGCAAUGUCAUUGUGACGAAUAAACCGAAGUAUUGAUGCACGAAAUAUGUAUAUAAAUCCUGUUCCGCCAGGUUUUCUGCGUUGAAUCGACGCGGAAUUUGAACCGCGUCGAUUCAACGCGGCAAAUGAAAUAAAUUAUUUAUCGACAAUAAUUUAAAUAUUAAUAUUAACGUCCUUCUUGUUCGAUGAAUGCACUUUUGUUUGGUGACUCGUGAACAAUCCAUAUUCAUAUGGUUCCUACAGAGAGACACAAGGUUCUGAAAACGCUCGUGGCAUGCUUACACGGUGUUGUGCACGUGUUAGAUCAUCCACACAUUAAGCGUCUUUCCUACACGAGUCAAGGUCGGUUUUCAAGGCUUACCCAAGCGUUUCCUAGUUGAUUACGUUCAAUGGAACGCAUUAUGCAUGUGCGUUCGACUGGAUGUCAACCGAUAGCUGACUGUCCUCAAGCGCUUCAAUUCGCUCGUCAAUGAGGACAGAUCCAUGUACCUGGCAUAUCGCGAUUCGCUAACGAUUCUCUAACUCGUUAAUCAAGCAGAACGGGUUAACUCGCCGCUUGAAUUGAAGAUCAAUCUUUCAGGUACAAUAACAUUUUUAUUUGUCAUUAAAUGUCUUUGUGGGUAGUAAAUGUCUUUUGUGAAGAAGAAAUAGUAGAUACUAAGUUUUAAGGCCAGUUUUAAUGGAGACAAGUAAAUUGCAAAUUAGUAUAAAAUUAAAAUACAAGGAAUAGGAAAAAAUUUAU